CUUGUAAACUCUUCACAGUAUCAUCUUCACAAAGGACAACGAGCCACGUUCCCCCCAGCAGCGAGACCUGGCAUUCAAGAACAUAAAUAACUGUAACGCCAGCAACAGAAGAUACAACUUUUGCAUUUAGAGUUUUUUUACUGUCUUUUUUUUUCAGCUCCUGAUUUUCCAUGUGGUUUUGCACAAAACCAACACAGCUCAAGUGAGUUCAUCCUGUUGCAUCACCGAGGUCCAGCAGCGUAAUCUUUGAGAGCAAGCCUUUCCAUAUUUACAUUUUUGAGGCUGCUGUCCUUACCCAGAUAAAGGCAACCCUGCUUUUUUUUUUUUUCCUGCCUUUUCAGGGCAGCCUUAGAAACACAUUGAACAGAAGGUGCUCGAAAGGAGAUUCCCCCCCUCUUUACCUGCUCAGACAAGUUCCGAAGAAAACAGCCUGACUCCCGUCCAGCUCCGGUGCCGAUUUACGCCUCAAUUCCUGGCAAGUGCAGUCAUUUCAGGGACAGCUCAGGCAGGAAAAGCUCUUCAAAGUUUGGGAACAGAAAGAGGAGGGGAUGAGACUGUUUAUUUUAAAGAUCUCUACAAUUUCCCCAUAAAAACGGAGUAGUUAGGUCUGUAACUCAUGCCUGCCUGAAGCUGAGGAGCACAGAUGAAGAUAAAAACAGGGUGUUUGCCGCUUGACUUCCCUCUUGAAUGCUCUUUUCCUACCUCACCUGGUUAAAGAGGCCCCAGGUGGAAGCCAGCACCUGGUGGAGAGUGGUCCUGACCCUCCCGUGGCCUCCUAAACCCUCCCUUACCUCUGCAACACGCACAGGCUGCCAGUGAAAAAUUAACUUCAGAAACCUCUUCCGGACUUGCAGCUACUGCGCCGAGCUGAAACAGCCUCCAGUCCUGCCGGGGGGGCAGGGGGGGAACCGAGGCAAAAGCAGAACUUGCCAGGCUAAGCUAUUUUCACCCAAAAUUCAAUGGGUAGUUCAGAAGAAAACGCUGCAUUCCCACCACCCGGAGAACUUGCCUCUGUGCCAGGGCUGCCCACGGAGAUGCCUGGGGAGGGGGCUCAGCCCCAAAUCCUGUCACAGCUGCCAGAAGACAAAUUCCUACGGGGAAAAAAAGCUCAGGUUGGGCUCAGGGAGAGGCUGCGGAAAAGCCGCGUCCAGGCACGAGGCAGGAAAGGGAGCGGUGUUUACUCCAGGUCCUCCAAAACUUGUUGGAGCAGGAUUUAAUUUGCUGAGCUCUUCCCCGUUACGAAGCCUUGAGCAACGCUGGGUCCGGGAGGGAGCGCAUCCUGCGCGGGGCUGGAAAUCAUUAAUCUGCCUUGUGCUGGGGAACAACAACAACCCCCCCAGGUACCCAGGAGAUGUCGGGGGAGGCUGCCUCCCAACGCCUCUGAUUUCCUCCGGAGCAUUUCCUUUCUCCGGCCGCAUCCACCCAUCCUGCUGAAUUUUUUCUCAAUGAUACAGACUCCGGCCCCCAGCUGUUUACAUGCCUGCCCGCUCCGCAUCCAUCUUUACCCUUCUAAAGGGCUUUUUUAAGGUGGUUUUGGUUUUGUUUUGUUUGUUGGUUGUUUUUUUUUUAAAGUUAUACUCAGUUUUUUCCCCAGCACAAACCCACCGAGCCCCACCCCAAGCACACACAAGCCAUAUUUUGGGGUGCCUGAGCUCCACCCCCCGCACCCAAGCAGCCUCUCCCUCCUCCCAGCACAUCAACCCCCCCUUUGGGGCAUCCAGGGAUCGAUCCCCCCCCCCGGGAAUAUUAUUUUCCCGGUGAGGGGGGGGUAUUUCAGGCCACGGCUGCAGCUGGAGGUCAAAGUCGGGGGUGGGGGG
rnacentral:lncRNA from 1 species